rnacentral:rRNA from 1 species
UCCUACGGGAGGCAGCAGAGGGGAAUUUUCCGCAAUGGGCGAAAGCCUGACGGAGCAACGCCGCGUGAGGGACGAAGGCCUCUGGGCUGUAAACCUCUUUUCUCAAGGAAGAAGAUCUGACGGUACUUGAGGAAUAAGCCACGGCUAAUUCCGUGCCAGCAGCCGCGGUAAUACGGGAGUGGCAAGCGUUAUCCGGAAUUACUGGGCGUAAAGCGUCCGCAGGCGGCCUUUCAAGUCUGCUGUUAAAACGUGGAGCUUAACUCCAUCAAGGCAGUGGAAACUGUUGGGCUUGAGUGUGGUAGGGGCAGAGGGAAUUCCCGGUGUAGUGGUGAAAUGCGUAGAUAUCGGGAAGAACACCAGUGGCGAAGGCGCUCUGCUGGGCCAUAACUGACGCUCAUGGACGAAAGCCAGGGGAGCGAAAGGGAUUAGAUACCCCUGUAGUCCUGGCCGUAAACGAUGAACACUAGGUGUCGGGGGAAUCGACCCCUUCGGUGUCGUAGCCAACGCGUUAAGUGUUCCGCCUGGGGAGUACGCACGCAAGUGUGAAACUCAAAGGAAUUGACGG